UCUCUGGUGGCUCAGACAGUAAAGAAUCUGCUUACAAUGCAGAAGACACAGGUUCAAUUCCUGGUUCAGGAA
rnacentral:tRNA from 1 species